UACGUAGGGGGCGAGCGUUGUCCGGAUUCAUUGGGCGUAAAGAGCUCGUAGGCGGCCUGUUGCGUCCGCUGUGAAAUCCCGGGGCUCAACCCCGGGCCUGCAGUGGGUACGGGCUGGCUAGAGGCAGGCAGGGGAGAACGGAAUUCCUGGUGUAGCGGUGAAAUGCGCAGAUAUCAGGAGGAACACCGGUGGCGAAGGCGGUUCUCUGGGCCUGUACUGACGCUGAGGAGCGAAAGCGUGGGGAGCGAACAGG
rnacentral:rRNA from 1 species